UACAGAGGGUGCAAGCGUUAAUCGGAAUUACUGGGCGUAAAGCGUGCGUAGACGGUUACAUAAGUCGGGUGUGAAAGCCCCGGGCUCAACCUGGGAACUGCAUUUGUGACUGCAUCGCUGGAGUGCGGCAGAGGGGAUGGAAUUCCGCGUGUAGCAGUGAAAUGCGUAGAUAUGCGGAGGAACACCGAUGGCGAAGGCAAUCCCCUGGGCCUGCACUGACGCUCAUGCACGAAAGCGUGGGAGCAAACAGG
rnacentral:rRNA from 1 species